UUCUUAUAUUUCAGUGUAUAAACUACAAAAACAUUCGUUUGCAUUAUACAUUCGCCAUUUUCCCCAGCAACUGGUCGGUUGUUGUCUGUAGUCUCUCCGUCAAAAAGCCCGUUUUUACGCUUAUAUUUUUGUGAGCGUUCUCCUCAUUACCUAUCAACAACAUGGGCAAAACGAAGAAAACGGUCCCCCCUGAGAGCAGAAGAAGCUCCCAGCGGCUGGCACUGAAACCUAAAGCUGCAAUAGUGGAGAAGAAAAAACCUGCUGCAAAAAAGGCACCCAAAGCAAAGAAGACCAAACAAGCUGAAAAUGGGAACACCAAGGCUGAGGAGCCAAAGGCCGAAGCCACUGAAGCCAAAUGAAUAACAGUUGAUGUGCUCACUCUGUGUACUUGGUGAUUGUACAGUUUUAAAUAAGUAUUUUUUACCAAGUUUUAUAUUACAAAUGUCAUUUAUAGGUUUGUUUUGGGCUUGCACUUGAUGUAACAAAACUUGUUGUCACAUUCAUAUCCAUUUAAAAAUGAUUACCGUCCAUAUCUUGUAGAAGUGGCAUUUUUAGUUUGUCUAAUUCAUUUUUUUAAACUGCUGAGUAAUAGAUAAUUUCCAACAAGUUGGAAUUUAAAUCUAAUUUUAAACAUUAUAAGGCAGCUACAGCAUAUUGUUAAAAUCUUUAGGGAGAAUAGGAAUUUUGCCUUUCAUCUCCUUGUAUUUUAAUGUUGAACUAAUAAAAAAAAUUGCUUACCAAAUGCAUUGAAACACUGUAUGUUGACAUGAAAUCUAGUCAUUGAAAAUGCCACAAAAAAAAAACAUGUUAUUAGGUCAAAGGCUUGGUACAUCCCAAAAACACGUAUGAUGUGAACCUGGUCAUCUGAUGAAAAGUUAUGUUAAGUUAUGUUUCUGUUAGGGGGGGAAAAGGAAGCUUUUCUGACUUAAAUGGUUGAUCUAAAUGUUCUUGAUUAAAAUUUUUCAAAAUGUC